UAGUCCACGCCGUAAACGAUGUCAACUAGCCGUUGGGAGCAAUUAAGCUUUUAGUGGCGCAGCUAACGCGAUAAGUUGACCGCCUGGGGAGUACGCCGGCAACGGUAAAACUCAAAUGAAUUGACGGGGGCCCGCACAAGCGGUGGAGCAUGUGGUUUAAUUCGAUGCAACGCGAAAAACCUUACCUACCCUUGACGUCCUCAGAACUUGUUAGAGAUAACUUGGUGCCUUCGGGAACUGAGUGACAGGUGCUGCAUGGCUGUCGUCAGCUCGUGUCGUGAGAUGUUGGGUUAAGUCCCGCAGCGAGCGCAACCCUUGCCUUUAGUUGCCAGCAUUUAGUUGGGCACUCUAAAGGGACUGCCGGCGUUAAGCCGGAGGAAGGUGGGGAUGACGUCAAGUCCUCAUGGGCCCUUAUGUCCAGGGGCUACACACGUGCUACAAUGGGAUAA
rnacentral:rRNA from 1 species